AUACGUAGGUGACAAGCGUUAUCCAGAUUUACUGGGUGUAAAGGGCGUGUAGGCGGUUUAGCAAGUCAGAAGUGAAAUUCCCGGGCUUAACUUGGGCGCUGCUUCUGAAACUGCUUUACUUGAGUGCUGGAGAGGAUAGUGGAAUUCCUAGUGUAGCGGUAAAAUGCGCAGAUAUUAGGAGGAACACCGGUGGCGAAGGCGGCUAUCUGGACAGUAACUGACGCUGAGGCGCGAAAGCACGGGGAGCAAACAGGAUUAGAUACCCUGGUAGUCCGUGCCGUAAACGAUGAAUACUUGGUGUAGGGGGUAUCGACUCCCUCUGUGCCGCAGUUAACACAAUAAGUAUUCCGCCUGGGGAGUACGGCCGCAAGGUUGAAACUUAAAGGAAUUGACGGGG
rnacentral:rRNA from 1 species